rnacentral:rRNA from 1 species
AAGGUAGCAUAAUCAUUUGCCUUUUAAUUGAAGGCUUGUAUGAAUGGUAAAACGAAUAUAUAACUGUCUCCUUAAAAUAUAUAAAAAUUAUCCCUUUAGUAAAAAGACUAAAAUUCAAAUAAAAGACAAAAAGACCCUGUAGAACUUGAUUUAAAUUUAAAUACCAUAUUAACCUUUAUUUAUAAAAGACAAUUAUCUAAAUUCUAAUUUGGUUGGGGCGACUUAGGAAUAUAUAAAACUUCCUAAAAAUAAAAGAUUUAAUAAUCUAUCAAAUGACCCAUCAUUUUGUUCAUAUAAAAAGUUACCUCAGGGAUAACAGACUUAUUUUCCUUAAKARAUCAUAUUGACAGGAAAGUUUGGCACCUCG